UCCGUAGGCGGACUAAUAAGUCAGUGGUGAAAUCUCUCGGCUCAACCGAGAAACUGCCAUUGAUACUGUUAGUCUAGAGUGUAGUUGGCGUAGGCGGAAUAUAUCAUGUAGCGGUGAAAUGCUUAGAUAUGAUAUAGAACACCGACCGCGAAGGCAGCUUACGAAACUACAACUGACGCUCAGGGACGAAAGCGUGGGGAGCGAACAGGAUUAGAUACCCUGGUAGUCC
rnacentral:rRNA from 1 species